ensembl:lncRNA
UAUACACUUUUUCAUGAUAUCCAAUUGGUAGUUACAGUCUUGUCCGAUCGCUGCAACUCCUGUACGGACUUGGGAGAGGCAGCUUAACACAGAAGCCAGCUGCACUAAUGUGUCAGAGGAAACGCUGUAAACCUGGUUACCGAAGUCAGCUUGUGGGCGCUUGGCCUGCCACAAGGAGUCGCUAGAGCACGAUGGGACAAUGACAUCCCAUUUCAUGGGUCUCCCGGUCACGGCCAGCUGUGACACAGCCUGGGGUUGAACCCGUGUCUGUAGUGACACCUCACUGCGAUGCAGUGCAUUAGACCGCUGCACCACUCUGGAGGAUGAAAAAUCUGCAAUCAUGAAAGAAGAACUGUCAGAAAAGCGAUGAAGCCUUUUUGCCCAUCAAGACCUGAACCCAGACAGCUGCCAGUACAGGGUCUGCUCCGAUCAUUUCAUCACUGCUGACCUCUAUCAAGACACCCAUGUCGACUGGAUUCCCACUGUGAAAGUCAGCAAUCCUGCAGCAGCAUCAGUCUCUACUUCUACUUCGUCCUUUUCCAGAUAUGAAAUGAGACAUCCCUCAGUUAGACAAAACGGUUGUCAAUCUGAAUGAUUCUGGUGUGCCAUGUGAGUAAAGAGCACCUUCGUCAUGUCAAAAGUGUGCCCUUAAUUACACCGUAUGAAUAUAUAAAAUGUCAUUUGGAACAUGUAAAAU